rnacentral:rRNA from 1 species
AUGUGGCUACAGAGGGUCGCUCGCCUACGCCCGACGCCCGCGUUGCCGUGGCCCUGUCCAGAUCGCAGAUCGAUCGAAGAAACCCGGGUGGCCGCCAUCUUCCCAAUCCACGAGGCCCCCAAGCCUCUCCUGCCUGGAAGCGCCUGUCGAGCCCUUCCCCUCCAUUGGGAUGUCAGGGUGGAAGACAUGGCGUGCACCCCUGGUGGCGAGGAGGAGCUUUAG